rnacentral:lncRNA from 1 species
CAACAAAAUAAAAAAGAUUUUGCCAAACAAAAAUUAAUCGAAUGAGUCGGUUUUCGUUUGGCAGUCGGUGCUGGAUGGCAGAAAAGUAAGUUUGAACUUUGGCCAUUCAUACACUUACAUUAAUCGAAUAUCCUUGAGCUGCUCUCCAUGAUUUAAGUAAAAAUUAAGCGUUCGAAUUAAUCCGGUACAUGGUCAGAAAUAAUGGAAUACAUUCUAUUUUCUUGAUAAUUUCGUGACGAUAUAAAAAAGCGCUUUAGCGCCAAAUUUAAUAACUCCCGUAUGAGAAAGAAAAAAUGUAAUUUGCACCGAGUUUUAUUAUUGGCCGAGUUUCUGGUAAAAAAAAAAUUUAAUAUUUCAAAGGGUAAAACGGGACGGGAGUUAUCUGGACUACUCUAUACCAGCCAUCUCCCGCCGAGAUGUUCUAGCUAUUUGUUUAAAUGUACGUUAGUAGGAAAUUAUUACAUUAAAGUUAAAUUGUCGACUUUUAAACUGUACUGUGCUCGACCCGCGCUGUACUACCGGUAAUUACCUUAUCGGUAAAAUAUUUUCCUUCGGCGAUAAUUUUCUUCGAAAAUAUUCGACCCUUCGUUUCCUUUCGAAACGCGCCUCUGGCCCACCCGCCAUUCGAGUUUGACACUACCGCUCCAUACCGAGUGUGGCCGACACCUUAAGAGAGUAGUAGUCGGAUGCGUGUCGAAGCGGCGGCAGGCUGUCCAGAGUACGGUUUACUGUUUGUUUAACGCGGAGGUCACCAAACUCACAUAACAGACAAAAUGACCAGCGUGGGCCGCAUAAUCAUUAUGUGCAAUACUCGCGAGCCAGAACGAAAGCUCUGAGAAAAAGACGAAAAACCGAGUUCAGCAUUCCGUGUUAAUCAUGGACGAGUGGCGUGCCAUGCACAAAAACAAGAUAAAGAUAGAGGGCGCUCUAAUUUUAAGGAAACGAAUUAAAAAAUGCACACAUUCGUAAUCAAAUCGAAGAGAAACUCGAAA